UAGCAGAGACUGCAAGCGUUAUUCGGAUUCACUGGGCGUAAAGCGUGCGCAGGACGGUUCGUUGUGUCGGUGGUGAAAGCCCCGGGCUUAACCUGGGAAUGGCCGUCGAAACUGGCGAACUGGAGUGUGGCAGAGGGGGGGUGGAAUUCCGCGUGUAGCAGUGAAAUGCGUAGAGAGUGACGGAGGAACACCGAUGGCGAAGGCAGCCCCCUGGGCUGACACUGACGCUCAGGCACGAAAGCGUGGGGGAGCAAACAGG
rnacentral:rRNA from 1 species